rnacentral:rRNA from 1 species
UACGUAGGGUGCAAGCGUUGUCCGGAAUUAUUGGGCGUAAAGGGCUCGUAGGCGGUUCGUCGCGUCGGCUGUGAAAACCCGAGGCUCAACCUCGGGCCUGCAGUCGAUACGGGCGGACUGGAGUUCGGCAGGGGAGACUGGAAUUCCCGGUGUAGAGGUGAAAUUCGUAGAUAUCGGGAGGAACACCAGUGGCGAAGGCGGCGAUCUGGGAAGAUACUGACGCUGAGGUGCGAAAGCGUGGGGAGCAAACAGG